UACGAAGGGGGCUAGCGUUGCUCGGAAUCACUGGGCGUAAAGGGUGCGUAGGCGGCCUUAUAAGUCAGUGCUGAAAUAUCCCGGCUUAACCGGGAGGGUGGCAUUGAUACUGUAGGGCUUGAGUAAAGUUGAGGUUGGCGGAAUUGACGGUGUAGCGGUGAAAUGCUUAGAUAUCGUCAAGAACACCUAUUGCGAAGGCAGCUAACUAAGCUUUAACUGACGCUGAUGCACGAAAGUGUGGGGAUCAAACAGG
rnacentral:rRNA from 1 species